rnacentral:rRNA from 3 species
GUGUCGAUGAAGAACGCAGCCAGGUGCGUGAAUUAAUGUGAAUUGCAGGACACAUUGAACAUCGAUAUCUUGAACGCACAUUGCGGCCCCGGGUCACUCCCGGAGCCACGCCUGUCUGAGGGUCGGC